UAUUCAGCAUCGGCAUCACCC
rnacentral:misc_RNA from 1 species